UGCCUCCAAACCAAACCGUUAUCGCAUCUCCCUCCCUCUACGUCUCCCUCUCCCUCUCAGUCUCUCCAUCUCCCUUCCUCUCUGCGUCUCUCUCUGCGUCUCUCUCUACGUCUCUCCUCCAUCUCUGGUUCUUAAAUCUUCGACAACAAAUUGGGAAAUACCAAGGGUUGAGGCCACAUAUUGGGAUCUAGAUUUGAGUGUCUCCCUUUGCAUCUCUGCAUCUAUGCGAUUCUCUCUCAGAUGAAUUCUUUUGAAGAUGGUUGUGAUAGUUUUGACGAUGGAUCAGCUAGAAGUAAUGUGCAAGAUUUAGAUCCGUCUAACAACAAUGCAGUUGUUAUAACUCAAGUUGUUGCUUCUAAGACAUCACUUAGUGUUUGUGGUAGAGUGCUUGAUCAGUAUCAUAGUGCUCUCAAAACCUGAAAAUGUUGAGGCACUUGUACACGAGACUGGAUAUUUGGUGAACAAGAAAAUUCCACUUUAGCACAAAACUUGGAAGAAUUGACUGAGGAUAUUAGCAAGAUAGACAUGAAUCCCUCCCAAUC